rnacentral:rRNA from 1 species
GGCUUGACAUCCAGUGCAAAGCUGUAGAGAUACAGUAGAGGUUAACAUUGAGACAGGUGGUGCAUGGUUGUCGUCAGCUCGUGCCGUGAGGUGUUUGGUUAAGUCCAGUAACGAGCGCAACCCUUGUCGUUAGUUACUCCAUUAAGUUGAGAUACUCUAACGAGACUGCUAGUGUAAGCUAGAGGAAGGUGGGGAUGACGUCAAAUCAUCAUGCCCCUUAUGUCUUGGGCUACACACGUGCUACAAUGGCCGGUACAAACAGUUGCGAUCUCGCAAGAGGGAGCUAAUCUGAAAAAGCCGGUCUCAGUUCGGAUUGAGGGCUGCAACUCGCCCUCAUGAAGUCGGAAUCGCUAGUAAUCGCGGAUCAGCAAUGCCGCGGUGAAUACGUUCUCGGGUCUUGUACACACCGCCCGUCACACCAUGAGAGUUGGUAAUGCCAGAAGUCGGUAUCCUAACCGCAAGGAGGGAGCUGCCCAAGGCAGGACUGAUGAUUAGGGUGAAGUCGUAACAAGGUAUCCGUACCGGAAGGUG